rnacentral:rRNA from 1 species
AUUGAACGCUGGCGGCAGGCCUAACACAUGCAAGUCGAGCGGAUGAAGGGAGCUUGCUCCUGGAUUCAGCGGCGGACGGGUGAGUAAUGCCUAGGAAUCUGCCUGGUAGUGGGGGAUAACGUCCGGAAACGGGCGCUAAUACCGCAUACGUCCUGAGGGAGAAAGUGGGGGAUCUUCGGACCUCACGCUAUCAGAUGAGCCUAGGUCGGAUUAGCUAGUUGGUGGGGUAAAGGCCUACCAAGGCGACGAUCCGUAACUGGUCUGAGAGGAUGAUCAGUCACACUGGAACUGAGACACGGUCCAGACUCCUACGGGAGGCAGCAGUGGGGAAUAUUGGACAAUGGGCGAAAGCCUGAUCCAGCCAUGCCGCGUGUGUGAAGAAGGUCUUCGGAUUGUAAAGCACUUUAAGUUGGGAGGAAGGGCAGUAAGUAAUACCUUGCUGUUUUGACGUUACCAACAGAAUAAGCACCGGCUAACUUCGUG